GACGAACGCUGGUGGCGUGCUUAACACAUGCAAGUCGAACGGAAAGGCCCUGCUUUUGUGGGGUGCUCGAGUGGCGAACGGGUGAGUAACACGUGAGUAACCUGCCCUUGACUUUGGGAUAACUUCAGGAAACUGGGGCUAAUACCGGAUAGGAGCUCCUGCUGCAUGGUGGGGGUUGGAAAGUUUCGGCGGUUGGGGAUGGACUCGCGGCUUAUCAGCUUGUUGGUGGGGUAGUGGCUUACCAAGGCUUUGACGGGUAGCCGGCCUGAGAGGAUGACCGGCCACAUUGGGACUGAGAUACGGCCCAGACUCCUACGGGAGGCAGCAGUGGGGAAUAUUGCACAAUGGGCGGAAGCCUGAUGCAGCAACGCCGCGUGCGGGAUGACGGCCUUCGGGUUGUAAACCGCUUUCGCCUGUGACGAAGCGUGAGUGACGGUAAUGGGUAAAGAAGCACCGGCUAACUACGUG
rnacentral:rRNA from 1 species